AAUCAACGCUGGCGGCGUGCCUAACACAUGCAAGUCGAACGCGAAAGCCCCGCAAGGGGUCAGUAGAGUGGCAAACGGGUGAGUAACACGUGGGUGACCUGCCUUCGAGUGGGGGAUAACGUCCCGAAAGGGACGCUAAUACCGCAUGACAUCCUGCUCUUGGACGAGCGGAGAUCAAAGCUGGGGAUCGCAAGACCUGGCGCUUGAAGAGGGGCCCGCGCCUGAUUAGCUAGUUGGUGAGGUAAUGGCUCACCAAGGCAACGAUCAGUAUCCGGCCUGAGAGGGCGGACGGACACACUGGGACUGAGACACGGCCCAGACUCCUACGGGUGGCAG
rnacentral:rRNA from 1 species